AUUGAACGCUGGCGGCAUGCUUUACACAUGCAAGUCGGACGGCAGCACAGAGAAGCUUGCUUCUUGGGUGGCGAGUGGCGGACGGGUGAGUAAUAUAUCUGAACGUACCGAGUAAUGGGGGAUAACUAAUCGAAAGAUUAGCUAAUACCGCAUAUUCUCUGAGGAGGAAAGCAGGGGACCUUCGGGCCUUGCGUUAUUCGAGCGGCCGAUAUCUGAUUAGCUAGUUGGUGGGGUAAAGGCCUACCAAGGCGACGAUCAGUAGCGGGUCUGAGAGGAUGAUCAGCCACACUGGGACUGAGACACGGCCCAGACUCCUACGGGAGGCAGCAGUGGGGAAUUUUGGACAAUGGGCGCAAGCCUGAUCCAGCCAUGCCGCGUGUCUGAAGAAGGCCUUCGGGUUGUAAAGGACUUUUGUCAGGGAAGAAAAGGCUGUUGCUAAUACCGACAGCUGAUGACGGUACCUGAAGAAUAAGCACCGGCUAACUACGUG
rnacentral:rRNA from 1 species